AACGAACGCUGGCGGCAGGCCUAACACAUGCAAGUCGAGCGCCCCGCAAGGGGAGCGGCGGACGGGUGAGUAACGCGUGGGAACGUACCCUUUGCUACGGAAUAGCCUCGGGAAACUGGGAGUAAUACCGUAUGUGCCCUUGGGGGAAAGAUUUAUCGGCAAAGGAUCGGCCCGCGUUGGAUUAGGUAGUUGGUGGGGUAAUGGCCUACCAAGCCGACGAUCCAUAGCUGGUUUGAGAGGAUGAUCAGCCACACUGGGACUGAGACACGGCCCAGACUCCUACGGGAGGCAGCAGUGGGGAAUCUUAGACAAUGGGCGCAAGCCUGAUCUAGCCAUGCCGCGUGAGCGAUGAAGGCCUUAGGGUUGUAAAGCUCUUUCAGUGGGGAAGAUAAUGACUGUACCCACAGAAGAAGCCCGGCUAACUCCGUGCCAGCAGCCGCGGUAAUGUACAGUGU
rnacentral:rRNA from 1 species